rnacentral:rRNA from 1 species
UACGUAGGGUGCAAGCGUUAAUCGGAAUUACUGGGCGUAAAGCGUGCGCAGGCGGUUGUGCAAGACAGAUGUGAAAUCCCCGGGCUUAACCUGGGAAUUGCAUUUGUGACUGCACGGCUAGAGUGUGUCAGAGGGGGGUAGAAUUCCACGUGUAGCAGUGAAAUGCGUAGAUAUGUGGAGGAAUACCGAUGGCGAAGGCAGCCCCCCUGGGAUAACACUGACGCUCAUGGCACGAAAGCGUGGGGAGCAAAACAGG